GUUGGGUGACCUCAUGUGACAUCUUUCAAGUGAAUGAAUCCCUGUGGCUCGACAUCGUUUGCAGCAUUUGGCAUAAUCAGUGCUCUGGAUUUUGGCCAUCCUAAUAGGACCAAUAUUUAAAGCAUCCCAACAAACAGACAAAGGAGGAAGACUUCAACAAUGUAUUUUCUGAUGGAAGUCUAACA